rnacentral:misc_RNA from 1 species
AAGUCGUAACAAGGUUUCCGUAGGUGAACCUGCGGAAGGAUCAUCAAUAGUUCCAUAAAAACAUACCUUCUUGAGCACUGUAGUUGAUGUGAUGAGCAUCCAUGAUAUAUAUAUAUAUAUUAUGUGUAUAUAAUCUAUGGCGUUUGGUGUUUAUAAGAGUGUAGUAGUGGUGGUGAUAGUAGUAAUAUUAUCGUCAUCAUCAUUUUCUCUUGUAGACAUUUAAAGCCAACGCCAUUUAUUUGUGUAUAUAUAUAUAUAUAUAUAUUUAUGUUUGCUCUUUGUUAUCAUAUAUAUAUAAACUCUAAUAAUUUAACUAGUCUGAUAAUUACAUAUGUGUGUACAUAGUUAUAGUUAUAUAUAACUUGUCACCAUAAAAAUUUAAUGCAAUACAACUUGCAGCGAUGGAUCUCUAGGCUCUG